rnacentral:rRNA from 1 species
GAUGAACGCUAGCGGCAGGCUUAAUACAUGCAAGUCGAGGGGCAGCAGUCCCGCAGCAAUGCGGGAGCUGGCGACCGGCAAACGGGUGCGGAACACGUACAGAACCUUCCUUCGAGCGGGGAAUAGCCCAGAGAAAUUUGGAUUAAUACCCCAUAGCAUUACGAAAGUGGCAUCACUUUGUAAUUAAAGAUUUAUCACUCGAAGAUGGCUGUGCGGCUGAUAGGUAGUUGGCGGAGUAACGGCCCACCAAGCCUUCGAUCAGUAACUGGUGUGAGAGCACGACCAGUCACACGGGCACUGAGACACGGGCCCGACUCCUACGGGAGGCAGCAGUAAGGAAUAUUGGUCAAU